AAUUGGCUCUUUUUAAACCAGACAGAUGAGGGGCCCCUGGGGGGCUCAACGGUGGAGCAUCUGCCUUUGGCUCAGGCCAUGACCCCGGGGUCCUGGGAUCGAGUCCCUCAUCGGGCUCCCUGCACCGAGCCUGCUUCUCCCUCUGCCUGGGUCUCUGCCUCUCUCUGUGUCUCUCAUGAAUAAACAAAUAAAAUCUUAAAAAAAGAAAUAAACUGGACAGAUGAGAAGAACAUGGGCUCUGAAACAAAGCAGCCGUGGCUUACAGAUUCUGGCUCCCGUACAUAUCAGUUGGAUGAACUCGGGCAAACAUUAGGAGCCUCAGGCUCCUAAUCUGUAACAUGGGAAUGUUAAAAAUCACCUUGCGGUGCGGUGCUAAGGAUUCAAUCAGGAGGAGUGCUGCUGUGGAGUAAGCACUAGUAGGAACUAUGUUGUAGCAUCUGUCGGAAUAAAGUCACCGAGGACGAGAGGCAUCCUUGUGGCCUAAACACUCACCAUGCUGACAGGCAUGGGCCACGUACCUGAGGCCAAGUUCUAGAAUAGGUGUGCCGCGCCCAGAGGAUGAGGCAAGAACCGCUGUGUGUCUCCUUCAGCCAGUGGCACUCCCGCUAAGGACAUCCAGUCCCACCAGCUAUUUGAUAAAAGCCUCACUAUCCCUACCCAGUCAGGAUAUGGCUGGUAUCUUUCCAAACAUCUUUAUUAGGAAGCGAAGCAGGAAGUGGUGGGUGGGGAGCCCAACUUCUUUUUCAAAAGAAGAUCAGUGUGUUAUUUUACGCUAAGACUGGCCACAAAAUGGUAAGAAGGCGUCGGUUAACCACUCCCUGUGUCCGCUGGAAAGUAUUUGAGGAGGAAGAGGGGGACAUGGAAUCCCACCUUCCUAUUCAAGACCUUGGAGACUUGGAGGCCUCAGCCUCGGGGUAAAGGAAAAGGAGACAAGUAUAGUUUGGAAGGCGCAAAUUUCUCCACAGUCCCUCAAAAGCUGAAGGCUUAAGCAGUCGUGGGAAAAGUGGCAAACCCCAGAACGCCCCAGACGCUCGGGCCCUGGCAGCUGGGAUACCUCCGGAUGAGGACGAGCGAGGGCUGAAAACAGAAGCACCUGCCGCCAGCCAGGGGCCCUUCCCGGGCCACCGAUACGCAAGUCGGGCAUCUGUCCUCUGGAGACAGGAAAACAGAGUCUCGGGACUGGGGACGCUAGAAACGGUAAAGGACGUCCCGGGAAACCAAGUCAGAGGUCAGAUGUACAGAGCUUUGCCACAAAGAUUCAAAACUCCAGCCGAAACAAAAUAAGCACUGGAUUUCUAGCCGAAUCCUAGAAGCUAAAGGCCAGGGAGGAAUGUCUUCAAUAUCUGGAGGGAAAAAAUGAUUUCUAACCUAAGAUUCCAUAGCAAUUAAAAUCCCCAUGGAAAGGCCAACAAAGCCACGUUUAGCCACAUGGGCUUUUAAGGAUCCAUCCCCGCCGUACACUUCUUCAGAGAACUACUGGAAGACGGGCUCCCUAGAGUGUGAGACCCAACAGAAAAGGACUAUGACUUGGGAUCCAGAAAACAAGGAAUCUAAAACAAGAGAGAGGCAAGAGGAAACCCCAGAAUGGUAGCAAUGGGAUAGUUCGUGAUGGCAAGGGCUUCAGCCAGCCUGGACUGGAGUGGGUCUAGAAUGUUCUGAGACAUAUUUCUUAAAAAAAAAAAAAUCAAUAGAAUGCCCCAAACAUUUGAAUUUAUAAAGAGAACACCAGAGUGAGUGUAGA